AAAAGAAAAAAGAAAACAGCAUGUUUCUGCUAGCAGCGGCAAUCGUUUUGGCCACAAUUUUGGUGUUCAAGGGUGUCAAGAUAUUCAAUUAUAUUGAUCACAUGGCUGGCAUUAUGGAAAUGAUACCGGGCCCAACGCCAUACCCAUUUGUGGGUAAUAUCUUUCAGUUCGGUCUGAAGCCAGCCGAGUAUCCCAAAAAGGUAUUACAGUAUUGCAGAAAAUAUGAUUUUCAAGGCUUCCGUUCGCUUGUAUUCCUGCAGUAUCACAUAAUGCUCAGCGAUCCGGCGGAAAUUCAGAACAUGUUGUCGAGCUCUUCACUGUUGUACAAGGAGCACUUGUAUUCGUUUCUGCGCCCCUGGCUGGGGGAUGGGCUGCUCACCAGCUCCGGUGCUCGUUGGCUCAAACACCAGAAGCUCUAUGGGCCCGCCUUCGAACGCUCCGCCAUCGAGGGCUAUUUGCGUGUGGUGCAUCGAACCGGCGAUAGGUUUGUACAGAAGCUGCGCCAGCAGACGGAAGCAUCAAAGCCCUUUGACGCCCAGGAGCUGGUUGCCAAGUGUACGCUGGAUAUUGUUUGCGAGAAUGCAACUGGCAUGGCCAGCAAUUCACUGAACGAUGAGCCGUCAGAUUUACACAGCGCCAUUAAAGACCUGUGCGAAAUCGUUCAGGAGCGCACCUUUAGUAUAGUCAAGCGCUUCGAUGCACUUUUCCGACUGACUCCCUACUACUUGAAGCAGCGACGGGCGCUGCACUUGCUCAGGAAUGAAAUAAAACGCACAAAGGCAACAGCAGUUGACCAAAAGCAACGAUCACAAAAACAAGUCUUUCUUGGAUGUUCUUCUGUGCUCCAAGCUUGAUGGGGACGCGCUCAAGGAGCGCGAGAUAGUCGAGGAGCUAUCCACGUUUAUAUUUACGGGCCACGAUCCAGUUGCCUCUGCGAUCUCUUUUACCAUUUACACGCUCUCCCGUCAUCCAGAAAUACAGCAGAAGGUCUAUGACGAA
rnacentral:misc_RNA from 1 species